GUUGCAUCUUCGCUUUGAUAAGGUAAGAUCCUCAGCUCAUAUAAACAAUAGGCCAAAAUUUUAUGUUUGAACUUAUGAACCGUCUAUGAGAAUUGGACUAUUUUAGAGGGUAUAUUCAAAUUCUUUUUGCUUUGAAAGUAUAUUCAGAUUCCUUUUGCUUUGAAAAAUUGAAUUCUUUUGGCUUCAGUGUUUUUGAAAGGUACAAGGCCUACAAUGCCUUUAAUAAAUCUGAGAUGUCCUUUCAAAACAGACCUAUUGUUAUUUCCAGUUCCAGGCACUAAGAAUUUGUUGUUAAAACUAUAGUACCUCCUUGGUGAUUACUUUGAUUUGUUUAGAGUAGGUAUCUGUUAAUCAUCCAGAGUUUCUUUUUUAGCGUUAAUAUUUUUGUGUCCUCUUACUCCAACCUAAAUAC
rnacentral:misc_RNA from 1 species